GGUCACAAAAGUGUUGACAAAACGGAAGACAGAAAUGUUGCUGCUGUGUUGGAGAAUGGACAUCACAAAGAGAAAGUCAGUGGUCAGGAGGUAGAGGAGCACAAGCCUCAUCUCCCCGUCAGUGCCCUGACCAGGACUUGUCCCGAGUCACCAACUGGCCCCAGACGAGCCUCAGUGGAGCUCAAGUCUCCUGGUCAUUUAUUUGCAGGUGUCACCUCACCCAAAGCCAGACCAGAUUUUUUGUUUAAAUCUGACGACUCAUCAUUCGGCGAGCCACAUCUUCCCUGCACUGCCAUAACCAAAACAGACUCCCCAACUGGCCCCAAACCGCCAGCACAAUCUCCUGCUUUGGCCAGGAAAUCUCCUGCUUCAACACCAAAGUCUCCUACCUACCCAAUAGCUGACGUCACCACUCCCAAAACAGCACUAGAUGCUCUGUUUAGUCCUGCACCAGCAUUGAAGAGAGAGACCCCCGUAUCAAUGCGUACAUUUACCCUUCCAGGCCUAUCACAAGGAUCAGAGAGUUUUUCUGGACAACAAACGCAAGUGAGGUCACCAGUCAGCAGUCAUGCAGUGCAGAAGGAGAACAUCUCUGUAUCUCUGGCCCCACCUCAUACCCCUGUCAGUGCCUUGAGCAGAAUUAGCCCAGAGUCACCAACUGCACCUGCCCCAAAUCAGUCCCCUGCCCCCCCAUCAUGGGCUCCUGCUGCCCCAACUCAGUCCCCUGCCACCCCAACUUGGGCUCCUGCGACCCCAAUUUGGUCUCCUUCUGCCCCAACUCAGUCCCCUGCCACCCCAUCAUGGGCUCCUUCUGCCCCAACUCAGUCCCCUGCCACCCCAACUCAAUCUUCUGCAGCACCAACUCAGUCCCCUGCCACCCCAACUCAAUCUUCUGCAGCACCAACUCAGGCUCCUGCAGCCCCUCCAUCUCCUUCCCCUGCACCCAAAACACCUAGUCAACCAGUAUUUGAGGAUACCACACCCAAAGCAUCGGGAGAAUUUCCUUUCAAACGUGGUG